CCCAUGACUGGGAUAACUGGCCGAAAGGCUUGCUAAUACCAGAUAAGCCCACGAGGACUUCGGUCCAUGAGGGAAAAGGCGGCCUCUGUAUACAAGCUGUCACAGGGAGAUGAGUCCGCGGCCCAUCAGCUAGUUGGCGGGGUAAAGGCCCACCAAGGCAACGACGGGUAGCUGGUCUGAGAGGAUGAUCAGCCACACUGGAACUGAGACACGGUCCAG
rnacentral:rRNA from 1 species